UACAGAGGGGGCGAGCGUUAAUCGGAAUUACUGGGCGUAAAGCGCGCGUAGGCGGCUUUUCAAGUCGAUUGGGAAAUCCCCGGGCUUAACCUGGGAACUGCAGUCGAGACUGUCUAGCUAGAGUAUGGGAGAGGGAAGUGGAAUUUCAGGUGUAGCGGUGAAAUGCGUAGAUAUCUGAAGGAACAUCAGUGGCGAAAGCGACUUCCUGGACCAAUACUGACGCUCAUGUGCGAAAGCGUGGGGAGCAAACAGG
rnacentral:rRNA from 1 species